CGAGGCAACGGUGAAGAGCAAGUGAGGUCAAGAUCGAUGAACCAAUACGGUCACGUGAUGAUAUGAAGUGGAUCAUAUCAUUUGGUGAUUGGUUGGUGCAUGUGUUGCAUCAACAUUGGAGGAGAUGGAAUGGAAUGCGCAAGGCAAAGGUAUAACCUAGGGUAUUUCCAUUUCACCGGUCAUAGGUGUGUAGAGAAGUUUAUGACCGGAUUUAGGAUAGAUGGCCGUACUAUCAAGAGGGGCAAACUUGUUUGCAUAUCGGUCAUCUAGUGCCA
rnacentral:lncRNA from 1 species